rnacentral:rRNA from 1 species
GUGAAGCCUGCGGUUCAAUUGGAGUCAACGCCAGGAAACUUACCAGGAGAGACAGCAGGUUGAGGGUCAGUCUGAAGAACUUACCUGACGAGCUGAGAGGAGGUGCAUGGCCGUCGCCAGCUCGUGCCGUGAGGCGUCCUGUUAAGUCAGGCAACGAGCGAGACCCCUAUCAGUAAUUGCUAACUGCCCAGAGAUGGGUAGAGGCUAGUUACAGAGACUGCCGUUGAUAAAACGGAGGAAGGAAGGGGCCACGGCAGGUCAGUAUGCCCCGAAACUCCUGGGCCACACGCGGGCUGCAAUGAUAGGGACAAUAGGUUCCGACCUCGAAAGAGGAAGGCAAUCCCCAAACCCUACCCCAGUUGUGAUCGAGGAUUGAAACCCGUCCUCGUGAAUAUGGAAUCCCUAGUAACCGCGUGUCAUCACCGCGCGGUGAAUACGUCCCUGCUCCUUGU